rnacentral:rRNA from 1 species
GGCGGCAUGCUUUACACAUGCAAGUCGGAACGGCAGCGGCGGGGGCAACCCUGGCGGCGAGUGGCGAACGGGUGAGUAAUGCAUCGGAACGUAUCCUGUAAUGGGGGAUAACGUAGCGAAAGUUACGCUAAUACCGCAUACGCUCGAGAGAGGAAAGUGGGGGAUCGCAAGACCUCACGUUAUAGGAGCGGCCGAUGUCCGAUUAGCUAGUUGGUGGGGUAAAGGCCUACCAAGGCGACGACCGGUAGCUGGUCUGAGAGGAUGAUCAGCCACACUGGGACUGAGACACGGCCCAGACUCCUACGGGAGGCAGCAGUGGGGAAUUUUGGACAAUGGGCGAAAGCCUGAUCCAGCCAUGCCGCGUGCGGGAAGAAGGCCUUCGGGUUGUAAACCGCUUUAGUCCGGGAAAAAGGGGUGCGAGGAUAAUACCCUCGUGCUUUGAUGGUACUGGAAGAAUAAGCACCGGCUAACUACGUG